UACGUAGGGUGCAGGCGUUAAUCGGAAUUACUGGGCGUAAAGCGUGCGCAGGCGGUCUUUUAAGUCAGAUGUGAAAUCCCCGGGCUUAACCUGGGAACUGCGCUUGUUACUGGCAGGCUUGAGUGUGGCAGAGGGGGGUGGAAUUCCACGUGUAGCAGUGAAAUGCGUAGAGAUGUGGAGGAACACCGAUGGCGAAGGCAGCCCCCUGGGCUAACACUGACGCUCAUGCACGAAAGCGUGGGGAGCAAACAGG
rnacentral:rRNA from 1 species